GACGAACGCUGGCGGCGUGCUUAACACAUGCAAGUCGAACGAAGAGCGAUGGAAGCUUGCUUCUAUCAAUCUUGGUGGCGAACGGGUGAGUAACGCGUAAUCAACCUGCCCUUCAGAGGGGGACAACAGUUGGAAACGACUGCUAAUACCGCAUACGAUCUAAUCUCGGCAUCGAGGAUAGAUGAAAGGUGGCCUCUACAUGUAAGCUAUCACUGAAGGAGGGGAUUGCGUCUGAUUAGCUAGUUGGAGGGGUAACGGCCCACCAAGGCGAUGAUCAGUAGCCGGUCUGAGAGGAUGAACGGCCACAUUGGGACUGAGACACGGCUCAGACUCCUACGGGAGGCAGCAGUGGGGAAUCUUCCGCAAUGGACGAAAGUCUGACGGAGCAACGCCGCGUGAGUGAUGACGGCCUUCGGGUUGUAAAGCUCUGUUAAUCGGGACGAAAGGCCUUCUUGCGAAUAGUGAGAAGGAUUGACGGUACCGGAAGAGAAAGCCACGGCUAACUACGUG
rnacentral:rRNA from 1 species